UGGUUAGCUUUAUCACAGCACCAUCCUUUUUUUCCCCAAGUGGAUUCCUGGCUAAGGCAGGAGAGCAUCACCGGAGACCAAUGGUGAGUCUUCCUGUAAGCAUUCAGCAUCCUUCUGUUGAAGGACUGAUUAGGUAGCAGUCAGAGUUGAGGGCCACUAAAUAAAGCUUGGUCCUCGAGUAGAGAUGGAGAAAGGCUCUUUUCUUAAUUAACUGUCUUGGUGACAGUGUAUAGAGGUGAGUGCUAAGAUUUAGUCUUGAGUGCCCUGCUAAAUUAAAAAUAAAAAUUGGAGGGUUACCCAGAUAUUGGACAGUUUGUUUCCUGGCUGACUUUUUGUUUUUGUUUUUGGUGCCCAUGGUUUUUGUUUAUCUCCACCAUAGUUUUUG
rnacentral:lncRNA from 1 species